GGUUGGAGCUAAGUGGUAGAGUGCUUGCCUAGUGUGCAUGAAAUCCUGGGUUCUAUCCCCAGCAUCACCA
rnacentral:tRNA from 1 species